rnacentral:lncRNA from 1 species
CUCGCUUCCUAAAGAGAGAAAAAGUUAGAGACAUGAACGUCGUCUUAAAACCGAUUCGUUUCUGGCAAUUUUCUCGGAACCGACAUAUUCCAAGUCGUCAACGUGGAAACAACCAAAUCACAGUCCAAGCGUCGUCUAUCGCCCCGAAUUAUCGAUCAUUCCAAACAUCAGAAGAGGAAACGUACACAACCCUUCAAAGUAUCGGUUCAACUGUUUUCUUUCGUAAAAAAAAAAAAAGAGAAAAGGGGGAGUAGGUACGUAUACUAUACUCGUAUACUCCCAAACUUCAAAAAAACUUCUGCAAAUCGUCAAGAAUAGGCAAACGACAAUCUUAAUAUUCGUCUAAACGCUAGCAACAUAUCCAGACGAUCAUGAACAUAAUCUCAAAAACUAUACAUCAUUUCUUAUCGCAAUCAUGCGUACAGAAAACUUGUACCAAUAUCAAACUGAAACUCGACGAUUAGCCAAAGUAUUGAAACCUUUU